GGAGGAAUACCCAAGUGGCUGAAGGGUCUGGCUUCGAACACCAGUAGGUCGGCAGCACCGGCGCAAGGGUUCAAAUCCCUUUUCCUCCG
rnacentral:tRNA from 1 species